UACGUAGGGACCGAGCGUUGUCCGGAUUCAUUGGGCGUAAAGAGCUCGUAGGCGGCUGCUCAAGUCGAAUGUGAAAACUCGAGGCUCAACCUCGAGCCUGCAGUCGAUACGGGCAGGCUAGAGUUCGGCAGGGGAGACUGGAAUUCCUGGUGUAGCGGUGAAAUGCGCAGAUAUCAGGAGGAACACCGGUGGCGAAGGCGGGUCUCUGGGCCGAUACUGACGCUGAGGAGCGAAAGCGUGGGGAGCGAACAGG
rnacentral:rRNA from 1 species